GCGCGGGGGCGGGUGGUAUUAUGGGAUCUCUUCCGUUCUAAGUCCUCAACUUCGUUGCGCGAAGCCCAUGUUGAGGGGCUAGUGGGUAACACCGUGGGGGUUCGAGUCCCCCUCCGCGCA
rnacentral:tRNA from 1 species